GCCUGGGCUUCAAGGAAAAAGUAAGGAAGAAUUAGUGUGAGACUGGGAGGUCUGAAACAAGAUUUCUGGGUGUGGUACGAAACACACAAGUGCACAGCAACUGUGAAGAGGCCAGUGAAGGGGAAAGCUGGAGAACAGAAACCGAAAGUGAAACCAGAAGAUGAGCCAAUGAAAGGUGAAAAAGGAUCUGGUGUAAAUGAAGAAUAAACUCCUUCUGGGACAAGAGUUUAUUCGUCAGUGAAAGGCAUUUGGUAGAGAAAAGGAUGCCCGGCAUUGCAACCACUAAGGCAUUCAUACCGACUACAAAGAAACACAGUAGAAUCAAAGAGCAACCACACACAAGACGGAUUAACGAUCAAUGUGCAAAAGACAACAAACUGUGCAAAUACAAAACAAAAAAAAACAAUCAAAAUAAUAUUAAUAAAUAUUGUAUAAGCAAUAAACAUCGAGAAGAUGAGAUGAAGAGUCCUUGAAGGUGAUUUGAGUCCUGAGGCUCCUGCACCUCUUUCCUGAUGGCAGCAGCGAGGGAGCAUAUCCGGGAUGGUGGAGGUCCCAGAAGAUGGAUCCUGCUUUCCAAAGUUAAAUUUCUACUCUUACAUCUGCUUAUAGCUUAUAAUUAAGCACUGACUAAAAAUAAUGCUAAUUUGAAUUUGUAUCUAAUAAUAGGGUGAUAAGUGUUUUUGAAACUGUUUUGCUGAGGAGACGAUACACUGCUUUAUUACUUACUGAUACUAUUAAACACAUUUUGAUAUGUAUUUAUAUGUCCAACUGGAAUUUUACCUGAAGUAGAAAAUCCUAUUAUCCAGUGUUGUACGUGUGCUUGAACAAAAAUAUCUUUAGUUGGUGAAGAGGUAGAAAGCUGAGCUGUUUUCUACUAGCAAGUCAGGUCUGACUAUAUGACCCUUUGACUCCUGAGGAGAAUCAGGCAGAAAAUAGUAUUCCCAUUCGGGAUCAAGAAGUUGAAGAAAAAAAGAUGAUUUCUUUUGUGUGUAGAGUACAUGAUUUAUACGUGUGCACCAUUUAACAAAUAUUGUAAGAGCACAGACACUUUUUAACAAAACAAUACAUUGAAAAAAAAUUAAUGCUCCGUAUUUUAAAACUCAAACAUGAGUAUCAUACAUACUUAUCUAGGAAAUUUUUUCUUGCCCAUUAAUGAAAAAGACAAUUUUUUUUCUGUUUAAAUCUUGGUUGGUAACAAAUAAUCAUUAUCAACAUAUCCAUGUUUCCUCUCACCCAAUCACCAUGGCGUAAAGUGAUAUAAUUAUUAUCAACUGAAUUUGUUUGUAAUCUCAGUUAUUUAGAUUUGAGUUCCAAUUCUCAAUGUGGUUUUCAGUCAGCUACACAGAGCAUAGGAUAAGAUGAAUCUCAUUUUAUGAUUUAAUUCUGUUUAACAAUAAAGAAUAUUUAACCCGCAUGGUACCAUGUAUUUUCUAUGCUCUGCAGUACCAAUCGAUUUAAAAACUGGUUUUCAAAACCUCCAUUGCUCCAUCUCUGUAACUUCUUCCUUCUUCCACAAUGGACCAAAAAUAUUUCUUUCCUAUAAUUUUCAGAUUUUGUGAAUUCACCUCUUCUUUUACAUUUCACUGGAGGUAGU